rnacentral:rRNA from 1 species
CCUACGGGAGGCAGCAGUGAGGAAUAUUGGUCAAUGGUCGGGAGACUGAACCAGCCAAGCCGCGUGAGGGAUGAAGGUACAGAGUAUCGUAAACCUCUUUUGUCAGGGAACAAAGGCGGGGACGUGUCCCCGGAUGAGUGUACCUGAAGAAAAAGCAUCGGCUAACUCCGCGCCAGCAGCCGCGGUAAUACGGAGGAUGCGAGCGUUAUCCGGAUUUAUUGGGUUUAAAGGGUGGGCAGGCGGUCGGUUAGGUAGGCGGGCAAAGCCCGGGGUUCAACCCCGGCCCGCCGUUGAAACUGGCAGUCUCGAGUUGGAGAGAGGUAUGCGGAAUGCGCGGUGUAGCGGUGAAAUGCGUAGAUAUCGCGAAGAACUCCGAUUGCGAAGGCAGCAUGCCGGCUCCACACUGACGCUGAGGCACGAAAGCGUGGGUAUCGAACAGGAUUAGAUACCCGGGUAGUC